UACGGGGGGGGCAAGCGUUGUUCGGAAUUACUGGGCGUAAAGGGCUCGUAGGUGGCCAACUAAGUCAGACGUGAAAUCCCUCAGCUUAACUGGGGAACUGCGUCUGAUACUGGAUGGCUUGAGUUUGGGAGAGGGAUGCGGAAUUCCUGGUGUAGCGGUGAAAUGCGCAGAUAUCAGGAGGAACACCUAUUGCGAAGGCAGCUCGCUGGGACGUCACUGACGCUGAGACGCGAAAGCGUGGGGAGCAAACAGG
rnacentral:rRNA from 1 species